AUGGGCAAGGCGGCGAAGAGCUCGCGGAAAGGGAAGAAGGCGUGGCGCUCCAACAUCAGCACCGACGACAUCGACGAGUUCUACGAGAAGCAGACGCGCGACGCCCACGCCGGCGCCGCCGCCAUCCCCUCCCUCCCGUCCGACUCCCUGUUCUUUGUCGACAAGCCCGCCUCCGCGUCCUCGUCCACCUCCUCCGCCGCCAACGCAAACGCCUCCGACCCUGCCCCCAAAGAUGUUCCUGUCAAAAGGAAGAUUGAGAAAAACAGGGAGAAGGUCCUUCACCAUGAGAGUGUGUUGAAGCGGAACCCUUAUAUACAGACAAUUCCAUCUUCUUUGAUGUCAAAGAAGGACAAGAAGAAGUUCAAGAAACACGCAAAGAAAAAGGAAUUGCAGGAGUCACGGGAGGAAAAAGUUGUUCCCAUGGAAGAGGAUUCAGCUGAAAAGAACCUCGACAUCUGGGGUGGAGAUGCUAAAGGGGCUCCUUUGCCCAAAAAGGGAAUGAAAAGACUCAAGAAAAAUAAAUCUACCACAUCUGUGAUUCCCGCAGUUGAAGUUGAGCCUCAAGGAUGUUCAUUUAAUCCUCCACAUGAAGCCCAUCAAGAUGCUCUUGCUCUAGCCGUUGCUGUUGAAAUGCGCAAGAUCUACACGAAAGAGUUAGGCCCCACACCAGUGCCACUUACUGUUCUUGGUCAAGCAGUAGCUGAAGAAGACAAAUUUUUUCUUGAUGCUGCCGAUGAUGGAGAUGCAGCUGCUGAUGGAGAUGUAGAUGCUGCAGAAGGUGAUGGAGACCAGGAUGCUGAUGCUCUAACUGGAGAGAGGAAGACCAAAACAAAAAGAGUUACGAGAGUGGAAUUGAACAAAAGGGCUCGUCGUAAAGAGAGGUUAAGGACAGAAGCAGAUGCAAAGAAACUGGAAGUUCUUUCAAAGCAAAUAGACAGCUUGCCAAAUAUAUUAGAGGAGAUAGCAAAAGAGGACAAGGAAAAGGAGGAAAAGCGCAUAAGGCUAACCGUGGCUAAGCAGGAAAGACUCGAGUCAGCCCCACGUCGUCUCGGUAGACACAAGUUUGAACCUGCUCCCGUUCAAGUUCUGUUGACAGAGGAGAUUAGUGGUUCACUUAGAAAGCUGAAGGGGUGCUGCAAUCUAGCAAGGGAUCGCUAUAAGAGCAUUGAAAAACGUGGUAUGCUUGCACCAAACAAGAAAUUAAGCAAGCGCCCUCGCCGCUAA
rnacentral:rRNA from 1 species